CAGGAGUGGCCAAGAUUCAAAUCCAGGUUUAAUGUCCACUUUCCUACAUGGAUUAAGAGUCCCUUUUGCACUCCUUGAUCCCAACCAGCACUACUACAUCAGUUAUUAGGCCCUAUCCACAGGCAAACCAAUGUAGUACCGUGUUCAAAGGCAGAAGGCAGCAGAAAAAAAACGACCCUCCACGCCAUUGGGGGUCAACAAGUAAAUGAUCCCCUGCUCUGGGAAUGGCCAACCUGCACAGUUAGCAACCCAGGGGGAAUUAAAACACCCUCUUAGAUCAUGCCCCUGUGGACCUUCCAUGUGUAAAUAUGUCAGCUAAGAUGGAGCCAGGGCUUCCUCUCCAAAGCCCCCACUCCUCCCUGUCUCUCAGAGUGCCCCAGGUCCCUGACCACACCUAGGUCCCAGCUAAAGGAGGCUUCAGCCCCUCCUCCGCAGUCCCCUUCCUCUCUGCUCCCCUGCCCACAACCCGGGCUCAGUCGGGGAAGCCACCUGCGGAGGGUCUCUCAGCAGUGGACAGGGCGGGGUAUGCAAAUGCCCCCCUCAGCCUUUCUUCCUCCCCAGCUCUCCGGGUCCUUCCCCAGAAGUCCCCACGACACAGCCUGUGACCCAGAGGCUGUUGGGAGGUUCGGAUCGCAGCUGUAUAGCCUUGGUUCCCAGACGCCGGGCGACAACGAGGGCGAACGCUCCCCUUCACCGCUGCGGCCAGCUGAAGCAGGGACCACGUCCGACCCGGAUCCAGGCUCAGCAGCGCGGUCCCGGGGCUUCUGUUGCUGAGACCAAAACACCUGACAAGACCAACUUAGAGGGAGAAACGUUCAUCCUGGCUCAUGGGUUCAGAAGUCUCCGUCCACAGAUGGCCCCACUCCAAGGCUUUGGCAAUGAAGAAUAAAGCUGGUAUAAACAUCUGCCUGCAACCUCAGAGUCGGCACAUACCAGGACGCAGAGGAGAGAACUGAUUUCAGCUGAAGUUCAAUUUACAGGUAUUUGGGGGUUCACUAUGGAUUUUGUGUUUAUUCAUGAA